rnacentral:rRNA from 1 species
GACGAACGCUGGCGGCGUGCUUAACACAUGCAAGUCGAACGGAAAGGCCCUGCUUUUGUGGGGUGCUCGAGUGGCGAACGGAUGAGUAACACGUGAGUAACCUGCCCUUGACUUUGGGAUAACUUCAGGAAACUGGGGCUAAUACCGGAUAGGAGCUUCUGCUGCAUGGUGGGGGUUGGAAAGUUUCGGCGGUUGGGGAUGGACUCGCGGCUUAUCAGCUUGUUGGUGGGGGAGUGGCUUACCAAGGGUUUGACGGGUAGCCGGCCUGAGAGGGUGACCGGCCACAUUGGGACUGAGAUACGGCCCAGACUCCUACGGGAGGCAGCAGUGGGGAAUAUUGCACAAUGGGCGGAAGCCUGAUGCAGCAACGCCGCGUGCGGGAUGACGGCCUUCGGGUUGUAAACCGCUUUCGCCUGUGACGAAGCGUGAGUGACGGUAAUGGGUAAAGAAGCACCGGCUAACUACGUG